UGCUUCGCUGACGAGUGGCGGACGGGUGAGUAAUGUCUGGGAAACUGCCUGAUGGAGGGGGAUAACUACUGGAAACGGUGGCUAAUACCGCAUAACGUCGCAAGACCAAAGAGGGGGACCUUCGGGCCUCUUGCCAUCAGAUGUGCCCAGAUGGGAUUAGCUAGUUGGUGAGGUAACGGCUCACCAAGGCGACGAUCCCUAGCUGGUCUGAGAGGAUGACCAGCCACACUGGAACUGAGACACGGUCCAGACUCCUACGGGAGGCAGCAGUGGGGAAUAUUGCACAAUGGGCGCAAGCCUGAUGCAGCCAUGCCGCGUGUAUGAAGAAGGCCUUCGGGUUGUAAAGUACUUUCAGCGGGGAGGAAGGUGUUGUGGUUAAUAACCGCAGCAAUUGACGUUACCCGCAGAAGAAGCACCGGCUAACUCCGU
rnacentral:rRNA from 1 species